rfam:Gossypium arboreum cultivar AKA8401 contig_14366_1, whole genome shotgun sequence.
CCGACCUUAGCUCAGUUGGUAGAGCGGAGGACUGUAGUGGGGUUUCCCUGGUUGUAAUCCUUAGGUCACUGGUUCGAAUCCGGUAGGUUGGA